rnacentral:rRNA from 1 species
AUGAUGUGGUGUUUUAUGAUCCUGAUAUCUCACUGGAGAUGCGUAAGUUUGAACAGCAUCGUUACCUACGUUAAUGGAUACGCAAUAAGGGGCAGUUGCUUGGAUGGAUACGAAGGCAAUCCUUACAUGGGCGGAUGCCAAGGUAUCACUGCUAUACCACUCAUCUCCCCCAAUUUUCCAUCCAGUGGCUUGACAGUUCUUGCUGUAUCUAAUAUCCAGGUGCACGCUUCUGGAGAGUGUCCGUUGUUGCGUGAGCUGAUGCCGGGAGUCACCAUCUACGGAGUAUGCUGCUUCGAACUGAUGUUCUCUGAGUCCCCUAGUGCGGUGGCGGUCCCGGAGAUGCCGCAUACUGCAACCACGGGGGUGGUCAAAGUGACAAAAGGCGACUUGCCGGAGGCACAGAUCUUGCAAAGGUUGAAUGAGCUAGCUCUAUGGAACUUUCAUUGGGAACUUAUUAGACUCGAAACUAACAUGUAUAAGGUGGACUUUCCAUCAACAGAGGACCUGAAGAAGCUCCUGAGGUUUGGUAUGUGUAGGGUGCCUGGCACAGAGUGUAUUCUUGAGUUUGAUGAGUGGAAGCAAGUUGAGCCAAAGGGUACACCAUUACCUUAG